CACUCUCUAUGCAGCUCAUUCCUGAAGAAGGGCUUUGGCAUGUGGAGAUUAUGCCCUCUUGCUAGGGUACUGGAAGGGAUCCAUGUGGUAUUGUCCCAGCAAUAACUCUGCCACAGAGAUAUGCGAUCUCCAGCAGCUGUCGGCAGGCUUCACUCCCAUUCCAUCCUCCUUCCUGCAUCCAGUAGUCUCCCAGCCCCGCCUCACCCUCCCACUGCUCCAGAAGAAUGACAGAACUCAGAGCUGCAAGAGAAAGAAGACUGAAUUCAGUCUCUCUUGCAGAAAAAUUGUUUUCCGUCAAGUUGAUAAUAAUGAUCACACUGAGAAUGAAUGACUCAAGAUGAAUAUCCAAAGAUAUAUCAAAACCUGGUCAGCAGUCGUGGGGAAAGGAAGAAAGCCUGAGUUGAGUUUAUGAAAGUUUUCCACUAAAGUCAGCAACAGCUUAAAUUCAAACCAGGCACAAGACGCUUGAAUCUCCAUAUGAGUUGUUCAUCAAAGGGCUGAAAGAAAAGAAAUCUGAGCCCGAGCACGGUCUGGCCUAAAAGCUUUCAAGUGACUCCUUUCUGUUGCAAAUGAAAGAAGUCCUGCUACUCUAAAGAAUAACUAAACCAGACUGGAGUCACUGAAACUGAUGGAAGAACAUCUCAGGCAUGAGUGCCAUGGUGACGUCAUCAGCUCCGUUCACAACCACUCACCAUGAGGCCAUUGCUCCUGUGGAGGACACUGGCUUAGGACUCAUGAAGUAGUACCUCAGGAAGGUGUCUCUGUAAGUGUUCCUUCCACCAGCUCCAAGACACAAUGAGAUGGAGAGAACUGGAACAAUUCCCUAUGAUUGCAGCUGGAUAUUUUCACAUGAACUAUCUAGUAAUGAAGGCAAUGGCAUGUGGUGUGGCAAAGACUGGCCCCAGAUUACAUUUCCAGUCCUUUUGUACUGAGGAGGGGCUUUGGGACCAAGACAGUAGGAGUGAGGGUACAGGUUCCACAUUCUAUUUCUCUCUUAGUUUUCUGUGGUUAUCUUGGUGACUGCAUGGUAAAGAUGGAGGUGACAAAAGAUGGAAGGAGCCUGGAUCCCUGAAUGACUUCAUGGUGCAGAGCCUUACACUACCCCCAACUCAUACUAAAACAGGGGUGGGAGGAACAAUAGACCAUUAUUCUGUUAAGGUGCUGAAAUUGUAGAGCUGUUAAUUUGAACAGUUAGAGUUUCUUAUACUGAUACAGUAUCCUUACCCUGGAUUGUUGAAAUAAUUAGUCCAAAUAGUUUCUUUGCCUAAAACUGUGGACAGAGCCUAAGCAAUAUUGAAUCCAAGACAAGGUAUAUUUAUCAUCAAAUGCUACUCACUAUACAAUACAGAUGAAUGUGGCACUUACUUCCCGUGUUGUUACCCAGCCUGCUUCUAGUAUUCUUUACACAAAAUAACAUUCAUGAGCAACCUGGGCACAAGA
rnacentral:lncRNA from 1 species